ACACCGGCGGCCCGAGUGGUGAUCGUGAUUAUUGGGUCUAAAGGGUCCGUAGCCGGUUUGGUCAGUCCUCCGGGAAAUCUGAUAGCUCAACUAUUAGGCUUUCGGGGGAUACUGCCAGACUUGGAACCGGGAGAGGUAAGAGGUACUACAGGGGUAGGAGUGAAAUCUUGUAAUCCCUGUGGGACCACCUGUGGCGAAGCCGUCUUACCAGAACGGGUUCGACGGUGAGGGACGAAAGCUGGGGGCACGAACCGGAUUAGAUACCCGGGUAGUCCCAGCCGUAAACGAUGCUCGCUAGGUGUCAGGCAUGGCGCGACCGUGUCUGGUGCCGCAGGGAAGCCGUGAAGCGAGCCACCUGGGAAGUACGGCCGCAAGGCUGAAACUUAAAUGAAUUGGCGGGG
rnacentral:rRNA from 1 species